rnacentral:rRNA from 1 species
UAGAGUUUGAUUAUGGCUCAGGACGAACGCUGGCGGCGUGCUUAACACAUGCAAGUCGAACGGACUCAUAUUGAAACCUAGUGAUUUAUGAGUUAGUGGCGGACGGGUGAGUAACGCGUGGAUAACCUGCCGUAUACCGGGGGAUAACACUUAGAAAUAGGUGCUAAUACCGCAUAAGCGCACGGCUCCGCAUGGGGCAGUGUGAAAAACUCCGGUGGUAUACGAUGGAUCCGCGUCUGAUUAGCUAGUUGGCGGGGUAACGGCCCACCAAGGCAGCGAUCAGUAGCCGGCCUGAGAGGGUGGACGGCCACAUUGGGACUGAGACACGGCCCAAACUCCUACGGGAGGCAGCAGUGGGGAAUAUUGCACAAUGGGGGAAACCCUGAUGCAGCGACGCCGCGUGAGUGAAGAAGUAUCUCGGUACGUAAAGCUCUAUCAGCAGGGAAGAAAAUGACGGUACCUGACCAAGAAGCCCCGGCUAACUACGUGCCAGCAGCCGCGGUAAUACGUAGGGGGCAAGCGUUAUCCGGAUUUACUGGGUGUAAAGGGAGCGUAGACGGCAGCACAAGUCUGGAGUGAAAUCC